GCGAUGCUGUCCUACUCCCGCUGCGUGUCCCGGGCCUUCAGCCGUUCGCUCUCCUCCUUCCAGAAGGGGAACUGCUCUCUGGGGAGACGCUCCCUGCCCGGGGUCUCCUCAUGUCAGGGACCAAGUUGCCCCGACAGCAGGAAGAUUGUCAUUAACAGCAGUAGUGUCUUCAGCAUCCGCUUCUUCAGAACUACAGCUCAUGCAAGGAUGAUGUGAUUACAGUAAAAACCCCAGCAUUUGCAGAGUCUGUCACAGAGGGCGAUGUCAGGUGGGAGAAAGCUGUUGGAGACACCGUUGCGGAAGAUGAAGUGGUUUGUGAGAUUGAAACUGAUAAGACGUCUGUAUAGGUUCCAUCACCGGCCCAUGGCGUGAUUGAAGCUCUUUUAGUACCUGAUGGGGGGAAGGUCGAAGGAGGCACUCCUCUUUUCACACUCAGGAAAACUGGUGCUGCUCCUGUCAAGGCCAAACCAGCUGAAGCCCCUGCUGCAGCCCCCAAGGCAGAGCCUGCAGCAGCUCCUCCGUCCCCUGCAGCACCCAUACCCUCUCAGAUGCCACCGGUGCCCUCACCCUCACAGCCUGCUCCUAGCAAACCAGUGUCUGCAAUAAAACCCACUGCUGCCCCUUCGCCAGGUGACACAGGACUGCGUUCAGAACAUCGGGAGAAAAUGAACAGGAUGCGGCAGCGCAUUGCCCAGCGUCUGAAGGAGGCCCAGAAUACAUGUGCAAUGCUGACGACUUUCAACGAGAUUGAUAUGAGUAACAUCCAGGAGAUGAGAGCCCAGCAUAAAGAGGCUUUCCUGAAGAAACACAACCUCAAACUCGGCUUCAUGUUGGCGUUCGUGAAGGCCUCAGCCUUUGCGUUGCAGGAGCAGCCUGUAGUAAAUGCAGUGAUUGAUGAUUCAACCAAGGAGGUGGUGUACAGGGAUUAUAUCGACAUCAGUGUUGUGGUGGCCACCCCAUGGGGUCUGGUGGUUCCUGUCAUCCAGAAUGUGGAAACCAUGAAUUAUGCUGAUAUCGAACGAACUAUCAACAAACUAGGAGAAAAGGCCAGAAAGAAUGAACUUGCCAUUGAAGACAUGGAUGGAGGUACUUUCACCAUCAGCAAUGGAGGAGUUUUUGGCUCACUGUUUGGAACGCCCAUCAUCAAUCCCCCUCAGUCUGCCAUCCUGGGCAUGCAUGGCAUCUUUGACAGGCCAGUGGCCGUGGGAGGCAAGGUGGAAGUGCGGCCCAUGAUGUAUGUGGCAUUGACCUACGAUCACCGGCUGAUUGAUGGCAGAGAGGCCGUGACUUUUCUCCAAAAAAUCAAGGCAGCGGUAGAGGAUCCCAGAGUCCUCCUCCUGGACCUUUAGGAGGAAGCCACAUGCCCUAUAAAUUGACCACACAGGAACUGAGAACCACUCUUCUCCCAGUCCCCUCAGGAUCCUGGGUUAGCCUGGGGACAGGCAGGCACAUGCUGUUGGCCUCGAGCAGGGAAGCCAGGGUGCUCUGUCAACCAGCAGUCGCAGGUCUUGUCUUGGUUUCCUGCCAGGCUCUCUCCCUCUCUGCUCAGUCCUCCCACCCUCACAUAGCAGCUGUCCUGAGGCUUGUAGGGAAUGAGAGAGCCAGCCUGGAUGCAUAGUGGCUCUCCUGCUGGCCUCCCAGCAGCCCUCUGCAGAGAUGUCUCAUCUCCCCCCAGUGCCAGGGUGCUGGGGGAGUCCCCAGGGACCACGGAAUUACAGGUCUGUCUCAGAAGCUGCUUUCCAGAGACAUCGGGGGGCUGCCGUGCCCCGGCGCCCUGGGCAGCAGCUGUCCUGGCUGUGCAGAGGUUGUGGAUGCAGCUGGGAAGGGCUGCUUUGCUGCUUCAGUGGCACCCGCAUUCUCAGCUGUGGUAGAUUGUCAGCUGCCUCUUCUACCUCUUGCAGGAAGCACAUGCCAGGGACUCGGGGUGGGAGGAAUGGGCAGGGGUUGGGGGGGUCCCUAUGUUGGAAUUGGGGUGGGAGCAGCCCCAGGCUGGCUCUCACAUUGUCAUAGGCCCAUACCAGGAAAAUGGGUUUGGGCACAAUCACAACCUCAAAGCCAACCUUUCCUGAUCUCUUCCCAGGCUGCUGGGACCCAUUUGAGCAUACUUAGAGCAGAUUCUGACAUGUUCUGGCCAUGGGGCAGGUUGUGGGACAAGGAGGCCAUGGCAGAGCCAGGGGAGGGCAGGCAUUCCCUGGAGCAGCAGCUAACUGGGCGGGUGGGUGAGUGGACUGACGAGGCC